CAGGUGACAAUGAAGAAGGGCAGGGAAGGUGGCUGAAAUGGAAGAUACAGUUAAAAUGGUAUUCGAAAAUACAGAGGGAUCCGGCAUAAUUAAGAGCAUUAAGCAAUCAUCUCAGCCCAAGGAGGCAGCUGAAGAAAAGAACAGAGUUUGGGCAACACUUGGGGAAAUAAAUUCCACAGCCUUUCACCAAGUUGAAAUCUUGGCUUUGGACACACAUAAAAAUGAGCCUGGCCCGAUCUUAGCUCUCAGUGGACAUCUGCCAGAUCACAAGAUUUGACCCAAUUGGCCUGCCUUACCAUAGAGAAGGCCACUGCUGGAGCAGCAGAUGGUACUGCUGGUAAAAGCCAACGUGGACGGACAAGGCUGUGGCAGGGAAAUGGCAGAGCACAGCUGGCCCCAGCCUGGGUAGGAGCCUUUGCUGUGAAGAGAAUCAUUUUUGUAAUGCAUUUUUUAAAAAUAACAUCAAUCUGAUUUCCUUCUCUCGUAGACUUCAAUCACUUUUCAAGUCCUACAAAACAUUGCUAAUUGAUCUAUUAUUUUCUCUCUUGUCACUAGAUACUGUCGUACAGUAGUAAAACUGCUAAACUCUA